UACGCAGGGGGCUAGCGUUGCUCGGAAUCACUGGGCGUAAAGCGUGCGUAGGCGGCUCAUUAAGUCAGGGGUGAAAUCCUGGAGCUCAACUCCAGAACUGCCUUUGAUACUGAAGAUCUUGAGUUCGGGAGAGGUGAGUGGAACUGCGAGUGUAGAGGUGAAAUUCGUAGAUAUUCGCAAGAACACCAGUGGCGAAGGCGGCUCACUGGCCCGAUACUGACGCUGAGGCACGAAAGCGUGGGGAGCAAACAGG
rnacentral:rRNA from 1 species